rnacentral:rRNA from 1 species
UACGUAGGGGGCAAGCGUUGUCCGGAAUCAUUGGGCGUAAGGAGCGCGCAGGCGGUCGUUCAAGUCGCGUGUGAAAGCCCCCGGCUCAACUGGGGAGGGUCACGCGAUACUGAUCGACUCGAAGGCAGGAGAGGGAAGUGGAAUUCCCGGUGUAGUGGUGAAAUGCGUAGAUAUCGGGAGGAACACCAGUGGCGAAGGCGACUUCCUGGCCUGUUCUUGACGCUGAGGCGCGAAAGCUAGGGGAGCAAACGGG